GAGGGGUUUGAUCUCAUCAAUAUAUAACCGGUUUGCAUCUGGCUCUAAAGAAACAUCGAUAUUUAGUUUUAAGAGAUGGAUG